AUACUUACCUAGCAAGGGAGAUAUCAUGAUCAUGAAGGUCGUUUUCCCAGGGCAAGGCUUAUCCAUUGCAUUCUGGAUGUGCUGACCCCUGCGAUUUUCCCAGAUGUGGGAAACUCGACUGCAUAAUUUGUGGUAGUGGGGGAUUGUGUUUGCGCUCUUCCCUG
rnacentral:snRNA from 1 species